GUGAUUUAUCGAUAAGGACAGACUGCUAGAUGAUAAUACUUGAAAGUAACUCUGCAAUACUGGGUUUGAUGGGUAGGAAGGUACUCCCUCCCUGAGAAAGGCAGGAGGAGGGACUCAGUCAGCCUGUGGGGGAGAGGGUUGGGGGGUGGGUGUUGAAACAGGUGCCAGACAAUCCCUGGUAUCAGGGAGGCCAACCUGGAGGAGGAGGGGGAGAUGUCUUGAGUUGAAAGGGCACUGGAUGGUUGGCAAGAUUCUAGGUGCAUCCCAGGGACCAGAGACCUUGGAAAGGUUAAUGGCGUUACAAAGAAUGAAAACAAGGGACAAAAUUGUGUUUUCCGGAGUACUUGCAGGGCAGAAUCCCCAGCCCCAGCAGGGUGACAGUCAGAGACUCAGUUUUAAGGCAACGAAGAAGUAAAACUUAGCCUGACCUGGAUCUUACUGGCAAGAAAACAGAAACUGAGUAAUUAGAACCACUGGGCAGUCAGAGCCUGGCCAAAAAAGAGAGAAACGGGAGGAUUGGGUGUCCAGCACCCAGAGUGUUAAAAGUCAGGUGACCUUCCUUUCUUUUGCCUUUGCAGGUUUGAAGCAGGAAGAAAAAUGAUAGAAACUGGGCUUCUUGUCCUGGGCUUGAAAAAGUAACUCAGUAUGCUGGUGCGGUAUUAUUGGGGUAACUUUUACAUAAAAAAAAAAAGUACUGAUUUUAAAUGUUUAUCAGAUUUUUUUAAGCAAAAUAACAAUCUACAAAGGAAUUCCAGCAUUUUCCAGAUCGUACGUAAUUCGAAGUCGUACUUACGCUGACGCAGUCUGAAGACAGUUGAAAUACUCAUUCAGAAAAUUCAGACUCUUGAGAACCUUUAAUGAAUGAAAAAAGAGCUCUGUUUGGCCUACAUUAUUCUGGUUGACUAUCUAAAUUGAUCAAAUGCAUCCAUCAUCACUCAACUUUAUACCUCACUCUGCAGCUUGUGUACAAACAAAAUCCUCCUAGUGGUUGCUCUCAUUGCAGGCAAUGAGCUCCAAAAACCAACCGUAGAGUCGUGCAGUCAGAUCUUUCUAAUUUAAUACCUGCAGGCCUUCUAAAACUGCAGGCAAAUUUAAAUCUAAAGUUAACACAUAGCUCCCGGUAGACCUCAAUUACUAGACCCGUGUGCGUGUGUGUGCACGCACACGCACGCUUUUCUGCAAUUUAUUACAAGAAGUACAUACAAUGUACCUUGCAUAAAAUUUCCCUGAAAACUAUACAUCUGAUUCAUAAUUAGUUUUCCCUCAUAAACCGGGCUGUAGAUUAAUCUAAUUACGUUGCCUACAUUCGAAUUUUAGCUUUUAUUUGCUUCUGUUUGCUUUACUCCUAAGUCUCAAACACAUUUGUCAGCUUUAUCUGCUGUGGGCAGGGAACGCUAGAGGCCAUCACUCAGUGGUUUAGAGCACAAGAGAAACCAAGCUGAAGCUUCCUAAUGUAGAUGAGAACAACAAAAUCAGAGAAAGGGCCUUCUGUUCAUGAGAAGACAUUUAUUUGAACUUCCUUAGCACUCCUGAGGUCAAUAUUUUUUCUAGGAAAUUAUAGGAAGGCUCAAGGGAAAGCUAAUGCACUAUGUUCUAAAGUGGACGAUAUGCUCCAGAGAAUCAUUUCUUCCUCAAUUGAAGUUCCUGUAAAGGAUAUCUUUUCCUUAACUUUCAUGUAGGCAGGCAGGUCGUAUGCUGGUCACAUCCCAGAAAAUAUCAGCGGAGCCAGGUAAAUUCCACCGUUAAUUAAUUAUACUUAUUUGGUGACUCACAAUACUCAUAUUAAAGACAAGCCGAAUCAGGCCCUUCCAUGGCUCUAUUAACCAUGCUUUUGAUAAGUUCCUAUGCUCCGGAAGACCUUGACUCUUAUUGUUGCCCAUAUAUCCAACGUCAUGUCCUGGUCCGCUUCCUCCAGCUUGGGCCCUCUCCAUUUUUGUACCCUGUGAUGCCUCCCUGGACAUGGAUGGAAUGAGCCAGACCUUUGGUCUUAACUUUUGACUGCCACCCCCUGACGUGCUAUGCGUGGGCUUUUUUCUUUUCCCUUCCCCACUACUGGCUCCUGUUUUACUGCCAGCAUACAAUGCAGUCAAUAUCAUUUGGGGCUGUCCGAACUCUUCACGGCAACCAAAGCUAUCCUUGUCUGAAAACUAAAGCAAGAUGUAGCUUGAAACAACCCUAUGCCACCAAAGUCAAGUUCGGGUAGAGGGAAGAAAAGCAGGAACGACAUCCCCAAAUGAUGGCAUGAUACCCAGGACAGUCAGAUGUUUCUUCUGGGAGGGAGUAGAGCAACACUCCCUCCUUUUUCCUAGAAACCAUGGUAUAUGAGGCAAUGUAGGGAUGAAUCUGGAUACCCUACAGCAGUCACUAAACGGCUCACACCUUGCAAUGACUGGUGAUGCCUGAAGCCCCUUGAAGGCGUCACCAAUGCAGCCCGGCAUCACCAACGCGUCCUGCGCAAGGCGGCACCCAGUAGGGCCUCAGUAAGCAUUUGGUUACUUAGUCCUUUCCUCUAGAAGAGCCGCCAUUACCAAUGGACAUAUUCAUGAUUUUUCGGUUUGAUUUCUUUUGUGAGUUGUUUGGAAAUAAACUUUAUUAUUUUGUUUUUCUUAUUGGAAAAGUAAUAUGUAGUCAUUACAGUACAUUUGAAAAGUAUAUUCAUGCUAAGGUACAUCCCUGUGUAUUACUCACUUUGCCACUAGAGUAUCAUCCACAACUUGCUGUGUCAUUAAAUGUUCUCCUACAGCGUGGCUAGAAGCUGCAUAGUAUUCCGUCACUUGAGCUAUCACUAGUAUUUUAUUCAGUUGCAAGUAGAACAGAGUAUGGCUCAGAAUAAUGGCUUCCUAUAUAUUUUUCAAUGAAUAAGUGAAUUUAACAGACAUUUAGUUUUUCUCCACUUUUCUCUAGUAAACAUAACACUUCCGUGAACACGUUUGUGGUUGAAUCCUUGUGCGCGCAUGUCAGUCUUCCAGGGGAUGAAUGCCUGAAGGUUAAAAACGCUGGCCGAAGAGUACAAAUCUGCUGGGUUUUAAUCCCAUCGUUCUAAAAUUCUCAAGACGGCGAAGGCCCCACAACACAGAAACAAUCCACAUUAUUCAAAGGUGACAACUGUUUCCAUCCCUCUGCUUAGCCUUACAAUUGGAAACAAAAAAAAAAUCUAGCUUUCUCUCUUCUUUCUCCACGAGAAGAGCCUAGACCUAAGUGAUUAGGGCCUAUGAUUACAAGGACUUUAGGCGUGACACAAAAGGGGGUCAGGAAAAAUACCCUUUCGUUUGAUUCACCAGGGACCAACUAGGAAUAAUUACAGGCUGUGCAGUACCAUCCAGCCACGUAAGUGACUACAUUGGACGCUAAUGAGUGUUCUGUGUCCUUCCAAUCUGGCCAUAUGGCCUGUGCUUCCUUUGAGCAAGUGCCAUGAAGGAUCAACUCCAGCCGCAAGGACGGUGCCAUCUGAUGAUCCACAGGUUUCCAGGAACUGAAGAACAUCACCUGCUUCAUCUGCCUGCCUUCAGACAGGACGACACUUAAAAUUUGCUGAACAGGGCGUAUCCUGCUGUAAAACGCUUUCCUGCAAGGAAUUGAAAGAUGAUAUGCAAAUCAGUUCAAGGGUGAAGCAUUCAGACUCUGCAAGAGAAAAAUCUCACCGUGUGAAAAAAUGCACCUCAACAUCCAUGGAAAGGAAGCCCACAGCCCGUUAGAGUUUCCGGUGAUCUGUGCAGUAACAUGUCAAUGAAGCGCAAGAAUUGCUUCAUAUUCAGUGAGUUCAAAGUUCUCCGCAUCAUAGCAAAACUACACCUGAAAAUGUCCUCCAGAAUGAUGAACGAAUGCCUUUCAAAUUGUUUUCUCACAAGGCUCAUCAAUAAAGUAAUUAUGGAAACCGCA